rnacentral:rRNA from 1 species
UACGAAGGGGGCUAGCGUUGUUCGGAAUUACUGGGCGUAAAGCGCACGUAGGCGGACAUUUUAAGUCAGGGGUGAAAUCCCAGAGCUCAACUCUGGAACUGCCUUUGAUACUGGGUGUCUUGAGUAUGGAAGAGGUGAGUGGAAUUCCGAGUGUAGAGGUGAAAUUCGUAGAUAUUCGGAGGAACACCAGUGGCGAAGGCGGCUCACUGGUCCAUUACUGACGCUGAGGUGCGAAAGCGUGGGGAGCAAACAGG